AUCGGCAGCCAUGUCGCCCUGCAACUCGCAACUGGCACCCCCACUGAAGUUCAGCUGGUGUGAGCCUGGUCAGUACCUGGAUGGGAGACCUCCUGGGAAAAAACUAAGGUUGCUGCUGGAA
rnacentral:rRNA from 1 species